GAGCGGGAGCUGGGGCGGGGACUGCCGACACCAGGAUUUGCACGGGACCCUUUGUGUGCCAUGCCAGGCCCUGGGAGUGUCUGUAGGACUUCGACUAGUAGACGAGCCCGUGUGCGAUUGUGUGAGACAGUGAAAGAAACGAUGGUCAAGUUAUUUCUUCCCUGAAGACUAAUUGGAUGGUCUGGAAAAGUUUUGUAGGUCAGAAGUCCAGUACAGGCAUCACUAGAGGAAAACCAAAGUGUCUGCAGUGCUGCAUUAUUUUCUGGAGG